ACACCUUUAGCUCAGUGGAUAGAGCGACAGCCUUCUAAGCUGAUGGUCAUUGGUUCAAAUCCAAUAAGGUGUG
rnacentral:tRNA from 1 species